CAACCCCCCCCCCCUGCUCAUAUCGCAGCUCUCAGCUCGCUCUGCCUCCCCCAGCGCAGAGCCCCUUCCCCGCGCCCCUCUGGGCUCAGCGGAGACCUGCCACCAGGGCAUGGCCGCUCUGGGGUCCUGUGCUCCAAAGAGUGGGGACAGCACUGGAGAAGUAAGACCUCAAGCUGCAGAGAAUCCACUAGACACGAUAAAUCAAUCCUGAACAUUCUGCCAUUGACUCCCGAACUCCACCAGGGCUAGAGGCGGAAGAGGAGUCGACGGGGGAGCUGCGGGGAGUUGCGACUGUCGAUCCUGCGCCAUGAGGAUGGGAGGAUUGAAGGUCUGCUGAGGGGGUUGAAGAAGAAAAGCUGUGUAUGCUCUCCAGAAGAACUUAGCAGCAAUGGGCCUUGUGUGAGCUGUGUUUGUUUGUUUUGUUACUAAGUUUAAUAAAAUUCCAGUCUUAAAACUGUUCCUGGCCUGGGAGUGUAACAUCAACACCUAAUUGUCCGGAGCUUGUUUCUGCAGGGUCUACUCUCCACUGCAAAUCUAUCCUUUAUUUUUGUUCCCUCUUACAAUACAAAUCAAAAGUAAUAAAUACAUCCCAUUAUUACUAUGUGUUUACAACUUUUGUCCC